UACGUAGGGUGCAAGCGUUGUCCGGAAUUAUUGGGCGUAAAGAGCUCGUAGGCGGCUUGUCGCGUCGGCUGUGAAAACCUGGGGCUCAACCUCGGGCCUGCAGUGGGUACGGGCAGACUAGAGUGCGGUAGGGGGAGAUUGGAAUUCCUGGUGUAGCGGUGGAAUGCGCAGAUAUCAGGAGGAACACCGAUGGCGAAGGCAGAUCUCUGGGCCGUAACUGACGCUGAGGAGCGAAAGCAUGGGGAGCGAACAGG
rnacentral:rRNA from 1 species